rnacentral:rRNA from 1 species
CCUACGGGAGGCAGCAGUGAGGAAUAUUGGUCAAUGGGCGCGAGCCUGAACCAGCCAAGUAGCGUGAAGGAUGACUGCCCUACGGGUUGUAAACUUCUUUUAUAAAGGAAUAAAGUGAGGCACGUGUGCGUUUUGGUGUGUACCUUAUGAAUAAGGAUCGGCUAACUCCGUGCCAGCAGCCGCGGUAAUACGGAGGAUGCGAGCGUUAUCCGGAUUUAUUGGGUUUAAAGGGAGCGUAGGCGGGUUGUUAAGUCAGUUGUGAAAUUUUGGGGCGUAACCGUAAAACUGCAGUUGAUACUGGUAGUCUUGAGUACAGGUGAGGUAGGCGGAAUUCGGGGUGUAGCGGUGAAAUGCUUAGA